rnacentral:rRNA from 1 species
UACGUAGGGGGCAAGCGUUUGUCCGGAUUUAUUGGGCGUAAAGAGCGUGUAGGCGGCUAGGUAGGUCCGUUGUGAAAACUCGAGGCUCAACCUCGAGACGCUGGUGUGAAACCAUCUAGCUAGAGUCCGGAAGAGGAGAGUGGAAUUCCUGGUGUAGCGGUGAAAUGCGCAGAUAUCAGGAAGAACACCCGUGGCGAAGGCGGCUCUCUGGGACGGUACUGACGCUGAGACGCGAAAGCGUGGGGAGCGAACAGG